rnacentral:rRNA from 1 species
UACGUAGGUGGCAAGCGUUGUCCGGAUUUAUUGGGUUUAAAGGGUGCGUAGGCGGUGACCUAAGUCAGUUGUGAAAUACGGCAGCUUAACUGUCGAGGUGCAAUUGAUACUGGGUUACUUGAGUACUGAUGAGGUAUGCGGAAUGGACGGUGUAGCGGUGAAAUGCGUAGAGAUCCGGAAGAACACCGGUGGCGAAGGCGGCCUGCUGGGCAGUAGCUGACGCUGAGGCGCGACAGCGUGGGGAGCAAACAGG